GCGGAGCUAGCUCAACUGGACAGAGCAUCGGCCUUCUAAGCCGAUGGUUGCAGGUUCGAGUCCUGCGCUUCGCGCCA
rnacentral:tRNA from 1 species